UGGGGAAGUAUUGCACAAUGGAGGGAAACUACUGAUGCAGCGAUGCCGCGUGAGGGAAGAAGGUUUUCGGAUUGUAAACCUCUGUCUUCAGGGACGAUAAUGACGGUACCUGAGGAGGAAGCUCCGGCUAACUACGUGCCAGCAGCCGCGGUAAUACGUAGGGAGCGAGCGUUGUCCGGAAUUACUGGGUGUAAAGGGAGUGUAGGCGGGACUGCAAGUCAGAUGUGAAAUGUAGGGGCUCAACCCCUGCCCUGCAUUUGAAACUGUAGUUCUUGAAUGAAGUAGAGGUAAGCGGAAUUCCUAGUGUAGCGGUGAAAUGCGUAGAUAUUAGGAGGAACAUCAGUGGCGAAGGCGGCUUACUGGGCUUUUACUGACGCUGAGGCUCGAAAGCGUGGGGAGCAAACAGGAUUAGAUACCCUGGUAGU
rnacentral:rRNA from 1 species